rnacentral:misc_RNA from 1 species
GAUGAAGAACGUAGCGAAAUGCGAUAAGUAAUGCGAAUUGCAGAAUUCCGUGAGUCAUCGAAUCUUUGAACGCACAUUGCGCCCUUUGGCAUUCCGAAGGGCAUGCCUGUUCGAGCGUCAUUUAUCAACCCUCAAGCCCGGCUUGCGGUUGGGUCCCGCCGUGGGCGACCACGGCGGACCCGAAAGGUAAUGGCGGUGCCCGUGGGGCCCUGGACGCAGCGAGCUUCUCGGCACGCGUCCCGGCGGUCCCCGGCGCCGUCUCCACCAAUCCACCACGCAGAUUGACCUCGGAUCAGGUAGGGAUACCCGCUGAACUUAAGCAUAUCAAUAACGGAGGA